UGCGCAUGUUGUUAGAGCUUGGAGUUGAGGCCACUAGCCCAUGACUCACUAGUGUAGGUAGUAUGCUACAAGAUGAUGAGUUUUUCGCUUAACACCACAGGGUCUCUGGCCUAAUGAGUGAAGUUUGAUAGUAAUACUUGCUACAAUA